CCCUUAGAUGUUCUGGGCCGCACGCGCGCUACACUGAUGCGUUCAACGAGUAUACAACCUUGAUCGAUAGGUCUGGGUAAUCUUGUGAAUGCGCAUCGUGCUAGGGAUAGAUUGUUGCAAUUUUCAAUCUUGAACGAGGAAUUCCUAGUAAACGCAAGUCAUCAGCUUGCAUUGAUUACGUCCCUGCCCUUUGUACACACCGCCCGUCGCUACUACCGAUUGAAUGGUUUAGUGAGAUCUCCGGAUUGGCUCUGUAGGUCCCGCAAGGGAUUUAUUAGUAGCCAAGAAGCUGCUCAAACUUGAUCAUUUAGAGGAAGUAAAAGUCGUAACA
rnacentral:rRNA from 1 species